rfam:Camelus ferus unplaced genomic scaffold scaffold2519, whole genome shotgun sequence.
GAGGGUGUAGCUUAAAUGGUAGAGCACAUGCUUAGCAUGCACGAGGUCCUGGGUUCAAUCCCCAGUACCUCCA